CCCUUAGAUGUUCUGGGCUGCACGCGCGCUACACUGAAGCGUUCAACGAGUAUUCACCUUGCCCGGGAGGGUUGGGUAAUCUUUUCAAAACGCUUCGUGAUGGGGAUAGAUUAUUGCAAUUAUUAAUCUUCAACGAGGAAUUCCUAGUAAGCGUGAGUCAUCAGCUCGCGUUGAUUACGUCCCUGCCCUUUGUACACACCGCCCGUCGCUACUACCGAUUGAAUGGCUUAGUGAGCCUUUGGGAUUGGCAGCCAACACCGGCAACGGUAGCUGGCCGCCGAAAACUUAUGCAAACUUGGUCAUUUAGAGGAAGUAAAAGUCGUAACA
rnacentral:rRNA from 1 species